rnacentral:rRNA from 1 species
UUGCUCUUCAACGAGGAAUGCCUAGUAAGCGCGUGUCAUCAGCAUGCGUUGAUUACGUCCCUGACCUUUGUACACACCGCCCGUCGCUACUACCGAUUGAAUGGCUCAGUGAGGCGUUCGGACUGGCUCGGGGAGGUUGGCAACGACCACCCCAAGCCGGAAAGUUCGUCAAACUCGGUCAUUUAGAGGAAGUAAAAGUCGUAACAAGGUCUCCGUAGGUGAACCUGCGGAGGGAUCAUUACACAACAAAAUAUGAAGGCCUGGCUUCGCGGCCGGCUGAAAUAUUUUUUUCACCCAUGUCUUUUGCGCACUUGUUGUUUCCUGGGCGGGUUCGCCCGCCACCAGGACCAAACCAUAAACCUUUUUUUUAUGCAGUUGCAAUCAGCGUCAGUAAAAACAAUGUAAUUAUUACAACUUUCAACAACGGAUCUCUUGGUUCUGGCAUCGAUGAAGAACGCAGCGAAAUGCGAUACGUAGUGUGAAUUGCAGAAUUCAGUGAAUCAUCGAAUCUUUGAACGCACAUUGCGCCCUUUGGUAUUCCAAAGGGCAUGCCUGUUCGAGCGUCAUUUGUACCUUCAAGCUUUGCUUGGUGUUGGGCGUUUUUUGUCUCCCUCUUUCUGGGAGACUCGCCUUAAAACGAUUGGCAGCCGGCCUACUGGUUUCGGAGCGCAGCACAUAUUUUGCGCUUUGUAUCAGGAGAAAAGGACGGUAAUCCAUCAAGACUCUACAUUUUUAACUUUUGACCUCGGAUCAGGUAGGGAUACCCGCUGAACUUAAGCAUAUCAAUAAGCGGAGGA